UCCCAGUUCGGAUUGUAGUCUGCAACCCGGCUACAUGAAGCUGGAAUCGCUAGUAAUCGCGGAUCAGAAUGCCGCGGUGAAUACGUUCCCGGGUCUUGUACACACCGCCCGUCACACCAUGGGAGUCGGAAAUGCCCGAAGUCUGUGACCCAACCUCAGGGAGGGAGCAGCCGAAGGCAGGUCGGAUGACUGGGGUGAAGUCGUAACAAGGUAUC
rnacentral:rRNA from 1 species